UACGUAGGGUGCAAGCGUUAAUCGGAAUUACUGGGCGUAAAGCGUGCGCAGGCGGUUUUGUUAGUUUUUCGUGAAAUCCCCGGGCGCAACCUGGGCAUGGCGAUGAAGACUGCAAGGCUAGAAUCUGGCAGAGGGGGGUAGAAUUCCACGUGUAGCAGUGAAAUGCGUAGAUAUGCGGAGGAACACCGAUGGCGAAGGCAAUCCCCUGGACCUGUACUGACGCUCAUGCACGAAAGCGUGGGGAGCAAACAGG
rnacentral:rRNA from 1 species